UGGGCAUGGCUUUUUUUUCCCUUAAAAAAAAGAAAAACAAAUAACGGGAACGUGAGGGGCUGGCCAAUGGGGAGCGAGCUACGGAUUUGCGCGUCCGUCCGUUCCACCGACCUCGCCCCGGGAGUACGUGGCUCGACGCGGUGCGAGCAAUAUAUCUCGCUCUGGCGGUCAACUGGCUGCGUGGGCCCCACGUAGCCUCAUCAUGCAUGCAUUGAUGCAUAUGGAUAUGAUGGGUAUGGUGAUGAGUCAGCGUCAGCGAUGGCCGGCCAAGUGGGAUGGGUCCGGUGACGAGGUUAUCCUAAUAUUCUCGUUUCAAUUACAAGAUUACCCUCAAGUACCGCAGGAGUGAGAGGACCCCGUGGGGCGUC
rnacentral:lncRNA from 1 species